GAGUUUGGACCUGGCUCAGAACGAACGCUGGCGGCAGGCUUAACACAUGCAAGUCGAGCGCCCCGCAAGGGGAGCGGCAGACGGGUGAGUAACGCGUGGGAAUCUACCCUUGACUACGGAAUAACGCAGGGAAACUUGUGCUAAUACCGUAUGUGUCCUUCGGGAGAAAGAUUUAUCGGUCAAGGAUGAGCCCGCGUUGGAUUAGCUAGUUGGUGGGGUAAAGGCCUACCAAGGCGACGAUCCAUAGCUGGUCUGAGAGGAUGAUCAGCCACAUUGGGACUGAGACACGGCCCAAACUCCUACGGGAGGCAGCAGUGGGGAAUAUUGGACAAUGGGCGCAAGCCUGAUCCAGCCAUGCCGCGUGAGUGAUGAAGGCCCUAGGGUUGUAAAGCUCUUUCACCGGAGAAGAUAAUGACGGUA
rnacentral:rRNA from 1 species